rnacentral:rRNA from 1 species
CAGUCGCCGCGGGAAUACGUAGGUCCCGAGCGUUGUCCGGAUUUAUUGGGCGUAAAGCGAGCGCAGGCGGUUAGAUAAGUCUGAAGUUAAAGGCUGUGGCUUAACCAUAGUACGCUUUGGAAACUGUUUAACUUGAGUGCAAGAGGGGAGAGUGGAAUUCCACGUGUAGCGGUGAAAUGCGUAGAGAUGUGGAGGAACACCAGUGGCGAAGGCGACUCUCUGGUCUGUAACUGACGCUGAGGAGCGAAAGCGUGGGGAGCGAACAGGAUUAGAUACCCCGGUAGUCCCUGUCUCUUAUACA